rnacentral:rRNA from 1 species
UACGUAGGAUGCGAGCGUUGUCCGGAAUUAUUGGGCGUAAAGGGCUCGUAGGCGGUCUGUCACGUCGGGAGUGAAAACUCAGGGCUUAACCCUGAGCCUGCUUCCGAUACGGGCAGACUAGAGGUAUGCAGGGGAGAAUGGAAUUCCUGGUGUAGCGGUGAAAUGCGCAGAUAUCAGGAGGAACACCGGUGGCGAAGGCGGGUCUCUGGGCCGAAACUGACGCUGAGGAGCGAAAGCGUGGGGAGCAAACAGG